CAAGACCGGUGCUGUAAGCAACAGAGAGGUGGGCUGCCAAGCGCGGCCCGGGCAGCGGGACUCCCACAGGUGGCUCGGGCUGUGUGUCUGGACGCUCGCUUUCCUGCCAAUCAGGUCCCAUGGUCUUAGUUCUUCACCUGGAUUUGGGCUGUGUGUGGAUUACCCUCCCAAGACACUGGUGCCUGGCAAGCCAGCCAGCCAGCUUCAGAGAAGCGGACGACAGGUGAGACAGGCGACACUGGCGAGACACUCACCGAGGGCUGGAGUACCUUUCACCUCUGAGCUUCAGAGCGACAACACCCCAUCUUCAUGAGCAGCCUGGGCGAGGUCCAAAUCCCAAGAUUUUCAGGGACCAGCGCUGUGGCUUAGUAACUUAAGCCUCCACCAGGGGCGCCAGCAUCCCAUAUGGGCACCGGUUCGAGUCCCAGCUGCUCCUCUUCCGAUCCAGCUCUCUGCUAUGGCCUGGGGAAAGCGGCAGAAGAUGGCCCAAGUCCUUGGGCCCCUGCGCCCAUGUUGGAGACCCGGAAGAAGCUCCUGGCUCUUGGCUCCAGAUCAGCCCAGCUCCAGCAGCAGUGGCUAUUUGGAGAGUGAACCAGCGGAUGGAAGACCUCUCUACUCUGCCUCUCAAAUAAAUAAAUAAAUCUUAA